rnacentral:rRNA from 1 species
GGAGGCCUAAUACAUGCAAGUCGACCGGUAACAGGUUAGAACUUCGGUUCAGCCGCUGACUAGUGGCGCACGGGUGAGUAACGCGUACAUAACCUGCCUUCAAGAGAGGGAUAGCCCUGGGAAACUGGGAUUAAUACCUCAUAGAAUUGCUAAGUCGCAUGGCUGUGCAAUUAAAGCUUCGGCGCUUGAAGAUGGAUGUGCGUACCAUUAGCUAGUUGGUAAGGUAACGGCUUACCAAGGCAACGAUGGUUAGGGGGCGUGAGAGCGUGACCCCCCACACGGGUACUGAGACACGGACCCGAGGUCCUACGGGAGGCAGCAGUAAGGAAUAUUGGACAAUGGAGGCAACUCUGAUCCAGCCAUCCCGCGUGCAGGACGAAUGCCCUACGGGUUGUAAACUGCUUUUAUUUGGGAAGAAACCUGAUCAUUUACUGAUCAGUUGACGGUACCUUAUGAAUAAGCACCGGCUAACUCCGUGCCAGCAGCCGCGGUAAUGCGGAGGGUGCAAGCGUUAUCCGGAAUCACUGGGUUUACAGGGAGCGUAGGCGGCAUAAUAAGUCAGAGGUGAAAGGCUGUAGCUCAACUAUGGAAUUGCCUUUGAUACUGUUAUGCUUGAAUCGAGUUGAGGUCAGCAGAAUGUGACAUGUAGCGGUGAGAUGCAUAGAUAUGUCAUAGAAUACCAAUUGUGAAGACAGCUGGCUGGACUUGUAUUGACGCUGAGGCUCGAAAGCGUGG